CCCUUCUCUUAGAGCUGUUGCCGCCUCUGCUAGGGUUCCGAAGCAUACUUCAAUUCACGUUCCGCUUGACUCCGUUCUUGACUCACAUAACUUUGUGAUCUCCUCCUAGAGAUGUGGUACUCCGUUGUUCGCUGUUGAGGUAUUAAAACUAGCUCGUUCCAGAUGUGAGGAACACCCGUGGGCAAUAGGGAGGUGAUGGU